rnacentral:rRNA from 1 species
GUUGCCAUCAUUCAGUUGGGCACUCUAGCGAGACUGCCGGUAAUAAACCGGAGGAAGGUGGGAUGACGUCAAAUCAUCAUGCCCCUUAUGACCUGGGCUACACACGUGCUACAAUGGUUGGUACAACGAGUUGCGAGUCGGUGACGGCGAGCUAAUCUCUUAAAGCCAAUCUCAGUUCGGAUUGUAGGCUGCAACUCGCCUACAUGAAGUCGGAAUCGCUAGUAAUCGCGGAUCAGCACGCCGCGGUGAAUACGUUCCCGGGCCUU